GUGUGUGUAUGUUUUUGUUUGGUGCUGAUCAGUGUGUGCUGUGUUGCAGGGUUCAGACCACCUCCUCAGCCCCUCACAUUUUCAUUAUGGUCCAAAUCUCAGGCCUGUACUUGAGCUUGGCCUCUGCCAGCCAAGCCGGAGGUUUAAUCACACAUUCAGCACUCCAUUUUCAUUUCCCUUUCAUUUUCCAGCCAUUCCACUCCCUACUCCCGCUUCAUAAUUCGGCCCUCAGAGCUGUCUGUGUAGCUGAGUGUUUGGGCCCUUUGAAAUGACAUAAUCAGUGACUUGGAUAAAUGCCUGACUGUUUUCCCUCUGCUGUCUGUAAUCAGCAGCCAACCAGCUCUCUGUAUUGGAGCGUUACUAAAGAAACUCUUCUUAAGGAAGUUGUUCACUAGCUUCUCCGAUGGCUGAGGAGUUAUGUCUACAUUGAUCAUUUGUAGGAUUUGACAUUUUAAAGCAGCAGUGCUGUUUAAGAGUCUGUUCUUACAGAGGCUGUCCGUCCGUCACUAAUGGCUGAGGACUCCGCAAUUACAAAUGCAGGCCAUUUUAUUUUGAGUUAAUAAAUGUGCCAUAUCAAUGAUACAAUAGCUCCGUCAAGUACAUGAUCACAAAAACACUACAAAAUAUCAGAUCAUUAUCAUGCUUAGAAUAAACAUUCAGAUAACUACAACAGAAAUUAAGAAACUCAGUAUGUCUCAAAAGGAAGAAAAUAACUAAUAAAUCACAUGUAAACACUACCUUGCAAGAGCAGCUUCUUAUUCACAUAAUAAUAAUAACAUGAAACUAACCUAGUUAACUUACAAGUGACAACCUACUGAAUGUAUGCUUUUAUUUCUGCUUUUAUAAAAUAUACCAUUACCUAUCGCAAUUCAGCACAGAUGUGUCUUUCCAAAUGUUUGGGAUGAAAGCAUGAAAAAACAACAUAUUUAUCCCAUUUCCACAUUGAUAUUUUUAAAAACUUAACACGAAUAUGAAUGAUCUUUGAUUAUAAUUAGAAAGUAGGGCAAUGUAAAAGCAUGCACCAGUUAUUUGUUGGAACACAAAACCAAGGAAAUGCUAAGCAGGUCCGGGAGGUUGGGGCACUGGCUGUAAAUGCUUUCAGCAACUAUUACUUCUGUGGGCGGACCACAUUCAAUCAAUAUCUAAGCAAAUAAAAGCUGUGGGCACUCACAGUGAGGGAAGCUUCAUGAGACGAGGCUGCAGUCACACACUAACGAACAACAUGCCCCCUAACACCACCACCACUAACACCUCGAAGUGGUCCACAGGAAAUACCCUACAGAAGCUAGUCAUCUGUCAACACCAUGAACACUAGAAAUAGAAGGAUUCUAGUUCUGUGGCAGAAGCGGUUUGUCCUAUAGAUAUUGUAUAUAUUUUGUUUUUGAGGUGACAGUAUGCUUUGCCAACAAAAUAUCUUCAUACUUCUUCUGCCGGAUAUGACGACGGAAUUAAUGAAUCCAAUCCAAUUCCCAUCUACUAAAAAAAGUAUUUUUCUAAAAUGUAUGGGGAGACAAUUUUGUAUUUAAUGUAUACUUAUUCUGGGGAAUUAGCAACAUCAAGAUACAAAGCUAGCAUUAAACCACCUCACUCAAUCCAUACCUUGAUUAAAUACAAAACAUAACUAAAACUGGUGCUGCCAACCUCAUUUUGGGUUCUGAAUUGCCACCUCAUUUUGGGUUCUGAAUUGCCACAUCUUGGCAGUAAGAUGACAAAGCCAAAUAAGAAGUGAAUGGUAGUGUGUGAAUGUGUAGUGUGUGUGUGUGUGUGUGUGUGUGUGUGUGUGUGUGUGUGUGCUCCUUCAACUCUGGCACCUCACAGUCCACACACACAUACACACACUGCAUUCCUGUUCUGCCUGUCCCAGCUCCAGCUCUAGCAGGAAGUGCUGUGCCCAGCCUCCCUCCCACCUCUCUUUGUGUUGAAUUAUGCGUAAUUGGAGUGGCGUACUUACACACAUCUUAAAGAACAAAACCCCUUUCUGUUUUAGGGGCUAGAGGUAGAGGGUGCAUAGCUAGGAGGUACGGGUGUUUUUGUGUUUUCAAGUAAAAGCGUGAAUGUCCAUAUUCGAGCCCAAAUGGCAGUUGAUUUGGAGUGGUGUGUGUGUGUGUUGAGGGUGGGGGGGGUCCAUAGGGGGGGGCUUGCGUGUAUGUCUGUAUGUCAUUUUAGUCUGGCGCUGCUGAAAACAUAUAGGCUACCCAGCUGUUCUGAAUAUGCAAAUGGCGCACCAGCACACACACCUACUGACCUAGACACACUAUUCUCUCCCUCUUACUGUCCCUAUCCCCCCACCCCCAACAUGGUAACCCCCAAAACCUCCUUAGACCCACCCCCUCCCGUCAGACCCCAUCCCCCAUAGCCUGCCAACUCUCUGCUACACAGGACAACGCCAUGGAUCUGGCUGCCAUUUUAUCCACAAAGGAGACAGGAUACAGUAGCCUAGCAUUUUAGCGUGCUAACAGGGUAGCGUGGGCAAAGCUAACCGCUAAGCACUCUCCUCCAUGACGUCCCCCUCCUCACAGAGUCUGCGCUGAUUAGAAAGGCAGCUUGAUUAAACUGACCUGAUAGAGAGGGAGAUAGGGGGACGAGACACCCUGCAUUGAAUAAGUAAACGCGCAUGUAGCCUAGCGAGGCGAGGCUAGCUCAAGUCACUCUCCCUCGAUGGGUACUAUGUCGCUCACUAACUGUAAUAUGACAACCAGGCGACAAACCACCAAAACACCUCUGAGUAAACAACAUAAUACAUUUUCAAGGUGCUACCACAAUGACAUGGCAAUAUUAAUGAACAUGAAUUUACAGGGAUUUCACUAAAUGAAUUGUAUCCUCCAUCUUGCUUGCCUUAGUUCUACAGUAUAGUACUGUACAGUAUCUAGUGUUAUUCUAUAGGAUCAACAAUGGAUGCUCUCUGCUCUCACUCUGGAUUGUCAAACAUAUUUCACACACACUGUCACACAUACACACACACACAGACAGACAGACAGACAGACAGACAGACAGACAGACAGACAGACAGACAGACAGACAGACAGAAACACAUCAAAGGGCUUCAGAGUGGAUGAUAUCCUAUUUCCGGGACACAGAUAAUUCAGAGGGCUCAGUGCAGUAAUUACCAUUGACAGGUGAAAAUGUCUGUGAAAACGCUGAGAUUGUAACAGUGUAACUGUCCAGUAUAAACACCAGGGUGACAGUACAUCCAUCCCCACUAACACCACUUUAAGACCAGAAAGCACAAAUAUAUUGCCUAAUCCACGUUUAGCGCGCCGCCCGCUGUUUCCCUCCUGAUACCCCUGAUCCCCAGUGCUUUGACAAGGCGUAAUAAAAUGAGUUUGAAGCAGCCGCAUUGUGUGGGGGAAUUGAGCACUGUGUGAAGGAUGUACACUGUUGGGUCCCACGACGCAGCAGCACACCAGGCCCUAUAGCGGGGAGUGCUGUGCAUGUUAAUGAUGUCAUUAUUUGGUGGUUGUCUGGAGUUUGACCGGUCAGGCAGGGGUGGGCCAGUGUGAGGAUUUAACAGUGUGUUAGGAGGCUACCUAACAGAUGUCACAUAUGGCCCAAUGAGACAGGCAGACAGACAGAGCAGACAGACAGAGCAGCCGCCCCAUAUUUCACUCAUAUCAAAAGAGGCAACAGUAAUGCUAUCAACGCCUCACAUAAAAACACGAUGGGAGGAAAUGAAAGAGAAAGAAAGAGAGGAGGCACAACAAUGAGAAACAUUAGUUCUGUAAUUCUCCUGAGUGCUUUCAUUCCCUCUGCAACAUGCAUAGUUUCUCCUAACACCCUUAGUGUUAGUUAUUUAGGAGAACAAGUCAGGGGGGUUAAGAAUCAAGCAUAUAUGCAAAUGCAAUUAGGGGCUAUUUGCAUAACCCCUUUGUGAUUAAGCAGAUGGUGGCCGUUAAAAGUUGUCCGCAGUCGCCAUCUUGGCAGAGCAAACAGCUGGCAGACGGGGAAGCCAUUUUGUAGGCACGCGUCAAGGCACUGCCAGGCUGACACAGUGUGGCGCCUGUCUCUCUGUGCCAGCAGAUUGGCGCGGGAAUCUUAAUAAUACUCGACUGUGAGCAACGCAACUACUGCACCAUUCAAUGACAUCAUUCUGGGCAUUAUGUUUGAUGAAGGCUUCCCUGUGGCUCAGUUGGUAGAGCAUGGUGUUUGCAAUGCCAGCAUGGUGUUUACAACGCCAGGGUUGUGGGUUCGAUUCCCACAGGGGGCCAGUACGAAAAAAUAAAUAAUAAUGUAUGGAAUGUAUGCAUUCACUACUGUAAGUCGCUCUGGAUAAGAGCGUCUGCUAAAAAAUGACAAAAAAAAAAAGGCAAGCAGCAAAAACAUAGGAGAAUAGUCUGUGUUGCGUUGCACUGUAUACUGUAUAUUAGUCAGUAGGGACUGUCUGUCUUUGUCUAAGAUGAUGAAUAUUCCUUUCACAUAGCAUUUUAAUGUAUACCCAGCUAUCGUCACAUGACAUGUCACAUCUGUGUAAAAGGCUCCAACAAUAGAACAGUAUAGCUGGAGGCCUACUUACCAAGUGAAGUCUGCCCCAUUGUGUUGUUUGUAGAUUUCUCUCUGUGCAGCUGUUCCUGUUUCAGGCACAAACUAGCUCUGACCCUUUUGUCUUCUCCAGCCCAGCAGAUAUGGACAAUCCUUUUCUUCCCCAAUGAAAAAAUACAAUUCUGCAUUUUGCAUCUCAGGCUUUCCAUUCAGCAAUGAUUGAGUUAUUUUCAUUCCAUUGGAUUUUUUGGUAGUUUUUUGAGUAUCUAAAGAUAGGGCUUCUUGUGUGGAUUCUUCAACUAUAAAAGGAAAAAUAGAACUGGUGGAGAGGGCCACUGUUCAGGCACUAUACAAUAUGUCCACAGUCUUUUUCAUCUUUCACUCAAUUAGGACUCCUUCACUCCUGAAUAUAGUUCAGUUGUAUAGUGAAGUUAUCAGUUACUACUACAGCAUGUAACCACCACAGACAAUGAAAGGUACCGUACUAAGACCAGCUCCAUUUAGAUCAAUAACCUCUGCCAUAUCCUCUGAUAGUAACCUGAGUCAUGAGGAAGAAAAUGGGAGGCAGAAAAUACAACAUUUAAUCUGAAUCUGUAGUUCAAAUUGGCCUUUUAUCCUGGUUCAUCAGAUGUGGAGAGCAUGGUGGCUGUACACUACAUGACUGGAGGGGGAUUGACGAGAGACGCCUGUUCAAUUCAAUGGAAGAGGCCUUUUCACUGAACUCUCAUUCAAACAGUCAGGUGAAACGAGUAAUCAGAGGGAAAAAUAGGAGAAAAAGACCUUUGACGUCCAUUUUUUAUUCUCUCUCUCCUUCGCUCUCUCGCUCACAGGCAAAGUUAUAUCAAGUGGUCUUGAGCCAGGAAAGCCCCUCCGGCGGAACCACACACACAGACGUGCUCAAACACACACACACACACACACACACACACACACACACACACACACACACACACACACACACACACACACACACACACACACACACACACACACACACACACACACACACACACACACACACACACACACACACACACACACACACACACACACUCAAAUAGACACACACAUACACCCACAUAUACACAUACUCACUCAAAUACACACACACACACAGUGCGGGUUGGCUGGGACUGGGAGAGGAAAGAGAGGGCUGGCAGCGCUGGGUCCCUGGGCUCUAGGGCCAGGGGCAGUGCUGGGCAACCCCUGCUAGCCUCUCUCCUCCAUAUUGAUUUGCUACUCCGCACUGCCGAGGAGCAACUUGCCAGCGGGGAUGAGAGCCUGCCUUGCCUCCCCUCGCCUCGACUCGCCUGCCCACUCCGCCGUUGCCUGGCUGGCCCCAGCCGGCUCCCUGAGACCCCUGCACGGAGCAGAGAAGAGCCAGAGAGCCUAUGGCCAUCCACUACUGGGUUCACCUGCUCCCUGGUUCACCACUCACUGCUCCAUUCUUUCCUCUCCUUCCACCCACUCCCACUCUCCUUCUCUUCCGACUCUUCUUUCUCUCUGUUUCUCCUCCUCCUGCACACAAACAACAAGAGACAAGGAGAAAAACAACAAGUUGAGCUUAAGUUGCUCACUCCAGAUGUCAAUCCUGUGCUUUGAUCAGGGAGAUGUGGGGGGUGAAUAUUUUGGCAUCAUCUCAAUUUGUGAGAUGAACUUCAACCCCCCACCACCACCCCACCCCGCGUGAGGAAAAGCUGAAAUGGGAGAAUGUUGAGUUAAGUGUGUCGGCAGGAAGAAACUGGCAACUGUAAUCUGAGCUAUUAGUCUGAUGCUUUCCCUCUAGCCAGUCACAGCAUCUGGUCCUAUUAUAAAAAUCAGCAAAGCGCUGGUGGAGUUCAUAAACAUAAUCCUGUUUACCAAUAACCUGCUAUAUCCCCAACCCCAAAGGUCCACCAAGUUUGGGAUAUUUUGCAAUUACCAGUAUAUAGGUAAACCCCCCCUAAAAUAACAAAAACUGUGCAAUAGAGACAGUCAAACUCUUGCUUCACUGCCUUAGCUGUGCCGGCGCCGACAGAGAUGGCCGCCUC
rnacentral:tRNA from 1 species